ACUGGGACACUAGUCAGGAGUGAGGGAAAGAUGAAUCCACUAAUGUACAGAGACAUCCUGGAUGAAAACAGCUCCACAGUACUCUGGACCUCAGGCUGGAGUGACGGUUCAUCUUUCAGCAAGACAUUGACCCUAAACACACAGACAAAAUAUCAAAGGAAUGGCUUCAGGGCAACUCUGUCAAUGUCCUUGAGUUGCCCAGCCAGAGCCCAGACCUGAAUUUGAUUGAACAUCUCUGGAGAGAUCUGAAAAUGGCUAUGCACAGACACUCCCCGUCCAACCUGUUGGAGCUGGAGACAUCCUGCAGAGAGG